AACAUGUCAAAAUGUACUAUUAUAUUGUUUAUUUAUGUCUUUGGUGUUCUUGUGUGUAUUUGUACUGUAUUCCCGCCAUGUAAUGUUGUCAUUUUACCGGUAUAUUUAACGUUGCCAUCCAGUCAGGAGGUUUGGCUAGCCACAAAACCAGAUUCGUUCCUCUUAUAGUUGAUGUGUUUCUCUCGGUUUGAGUUUGUACCCCGG
rnacentral:lncRNA from 1 species